ensembl:lncRNA
CACUGUCCUCCCGUGUGAACAACCCUGGUGCUGAGGAGCUCAGGGGGGCAGGCUUGGAGGACUGAGUCCAACGAGGCUCGGACCCCCAUUCCUGCCCUUCCCCAGCAGCCAAGUGAGCUCCAGCCUAUGGCGUGCACAUUUUACAGACAAGGAAACUGAGGCUUGGAGCUAUGAGCGGAUUGCCCAAGUGAGUGGAAGAGGCAAGCUCUGAGCGCCGUCCCAUGGCCCCGUGCCCUUCCCUUCUCCAACCUCAGGGCCCUGAUUUCUUCAAGCACACCACCGGGGCAAUGCAGAGUGGAAUGCGGCUCUGGAGGCUGGUCUGACCCCCGUGGCCUCCCUCCUCCUGAGCCCUGGGCCUCUGCCACCCGAGUUCACCCUGCCUGGUUUUGGCAAGCCACCUCACAUUGACCAAAAUGUCUGUCCGCUUAAAUCCUUCGACUUUUCUCGAAUGUGCUGUUGCUGCUGAGCCAUUUCUCCCCGCCCCCCGCCCCCCACCGCAUCCAUGUGCAGCUGGGUCUUUGGAUCCGAGUCCAGGAACUGACAUUUAUCCCCGUCAAAUUUCAUCUUGUUCGUUCAUCUGACAAACAUUUGUUCAGUGCCCACGCCGUACCAGGCACUGGGGACACAGCACUGAAAGCCCAGUCCCCUGCCCCUAAGGAGCUCCCACUGUCAUUAGGCACAGCCGCAGCUGUCAAUGGCAAGCUGGCCGCCACCUGCAGGCCGUCUCACUGACCCUCAGGGCACCAGCACAGAGGUGAUGCUGCCCCCAUUUUGCAGAUGGGGAAGCCAAGGUUCAGCAAGUUGAUGCUACUUGCCUGAAGGCGCCUACCUGGAAAGUGGCAGGCUCAGCACUCGCCCCUCCAACCCCUUUGGAUUCUGAGUCCGUCCUCCUCCUUAGAUACCUUCUACCUCAGCUUUGCGUUCCCUGCAAGCCCGAGAAACUUCAUGGGCUGCAUUUCAUCCACAGCACUGAUGACGCUACCCCACAGAGCCCCAGGGUAGGCCACCACUGCCCCCGUACCCCAGACAGACAGCCGUCUGUGAUCCCACACCCCGUGGGUUCAGCAGAUACAUCGCACCCGACUGGAAACCACAGGACCGGUCUACACACCCACCCCCACCCCUCCGCCCAACCCCCAGCCCCAGGCUCCCUCCCCUGUCCAGGCAGCUACACAACUGCUUGUUGGCAUCUCUGGCCAUCAAACCCAUCCCCAAGGCCAUGUCCUCUAUGGGCAGGAGUCUUUGCCUGUGCCAUGGUGAAGAUUCAUCUGCCAGUGUCCCUCCCCGGGGCGGUGGGGGGGGGGACUGCAAGCCCAGGGACCAAGAGCGGGCAGUGGCUUUGGGAUUUUGCAGGCUCCGAACAUCCCCCCCUUGCAUCUGUGGCUUCUUCUCUCCCACACCGUCUGCUCCGGGAGCCUCAGCCCAUCUUUUUCACUCAGCGUUUCUGCCAAGCGCAGGGAGAUCCACUGCAGAACAGGCCUGUGGCAAGAAACAAGCACCUUUCUGCACGAGACCCAGCGAGACGCAGGUGCUGGAUACAUGUCUGCCGAGUGAACAAACACCCGACGGCCCUGCUCACCGAAUCCUGAGGUCCAGCAGGGGGUAGAUGUAAGGACAAACCCGAGGAAACCCUACCUUGUUCUACAAGGAAUCACCUGAUGGAGUCUGUGUCUCCGAGAGAGGCGGCAGAAGCAGAAAAGACAAAGGGAUUCCAGAAGGUGGGAGGAGGGGUCGCCUACACAAUUGGAAAAUUUCACAAAGUCCAGAUUUCAAGCUAUUUUUAAAAUAUCUGAAGCUUUGGCAACCCCAAGCCUGCAUAUUCCCAUGGCAACCCGAGCUGGUGCCGAGCACCGCUGCCCCCUUCAGACUGGACAUGCGCUCUGCACGUCUUCGCGCACAAGGCCGCUCACCGUUGCCAACACCUAGCCCCCUCCCCCCAACUCAUUCGCAUCCCCGGCCCCGUGGGCAUCUGCCGUAGGCCAGCCCUGGUUUAAGACAUUUCAUGAGCAGAAAGCAUGCCAGGGACAUGGGGACUGAGACAUCUGCUGCAUCAGCCCGUAGCCAGGGGUUCCCUCCCUCAGGUUCUUGGAGCAGUGGCCCAUCGUGGGGUUUUCCAGAUCCACAGGCAUCCAUUCUCUGUGCUGGGAUCCCGUGGCGGGUGGGCUCCGAAACUCCAAGCCACGCCCUGGAGGGGAGAGGUGCAGUUCCGGAUUUGCACCAGCAGGGAGCGCCGUUCCUGGACUGCACCGUCCCUCCGCCAUCCUGGGAGCUGUGUCCCUGACCUUUCCUACUUGGGGUGACAGCUGAGACCCAGCCUGCCUGGCAACAUGAUGGGCUCGGCAGUGACUGGCUGGGCCAGGAUAUACUCCAGGUGCCCAAGGACAGCCUCAAGGGCCCUCCCUCCACCGCCUUCUGGAAGCCCUUCCAACCUGCGACCCCCAGGGCCAAAGGACACCCCUCCUGAGCUCCCUUCUCCUAGCAGCCUUUCCUCGCCCUUCUCUUCUUUCAGGACUGCUCAGGCUUCCUGAAGCCCGUUUCCUCAGGGCAGACCCUCAAAUUCAGGACUGCAUGCUUGGCCCUGUGUUCAGGGUUUUAUAUACUUUAUUUAAAAUCCCCAGAAUCCUAUAAGGUAGGUAUUAAUCCCCAUUUUACAAGUGGGAAAACUAAAGCUUACCAAGGGGACACAACCUGCCCAGGGCCAAACAAUAGCAAGAUUCUAAUUAGGAUGGCAUUGCUCCUGUGAAGGAAAUUUUAGAAUCAAUGGACGGGAAGGAGGGGUUGGUUAGGGUUUGAGGGCAGAGGACAAUCCCUUGCUCAGGUCCAUACAGGCCACUUAUUCUGUUAAGAGCCAUCCAAGGUCAGGGACUGAAUCUGGGGCCCCUAAGCCAGUGAUAAGGCCUUAGGAAUAGGCCCUUGGGAAUUUACUGAACAUCUCUCCAUCCCUGCCUAGGGCGAUAGUUUGAGCAGCAGGACAAGUCCCACGCAUGCUUCAGCUUCUGACUUCAAUCCAUGAUGGGGUAGUGAAGAGGCAGGCAGGCGGCCACGCGUAGGGGCCCCGAAUGGCCCACCCAACUGGAUGGGACCUUCAUGAGGGGCAAGAGAGCCAGACUGCACACAGUGAAUUGAGGCAUCGCUGAGCAUGACUCCUUUGGUGAGCCACAAGCCUCAAGAUCUUCCCCACUCCCACCUGCACAGGGACAGAGAAGCCCAGGGAAUCAUCAGCCCCUCUGAGACUGUCACAGCCCAUGUACCAAGGCCACCACCAGGGUGGGAAAAGGGUUCUGUCCACACUGUUUAGCCAGCUCACCUGCCAUUUCCCCAAACAUGCCUGCACUCACACCCCUGGGUCUGCUGGUCCCUCUCCAAUUCUACCUCCCAAUCGUCCAAACCCAGCUUGAAAAAACGUCACCUUUUCUGGGCAACCCACCGUAAUCUGAUCCAUCAAAACUAGUCAUUCUUUCCCUCUCUGGAAAGGACUAAAACGGCAGGGACCUCUCCUGUGGCGUUAAGGCCAAUCUCCUUAGUGCUGUAAUCGUUUCUGGGUUGCUGUUUUCUCUGAGAAGCAGGCAGGAGGGUAGAGCAGACACCCUGCCUCCUAGCAUGGGGCCUCAUACAUGCAAGGCAUGAGGUACAUUGGAAGGAUGGAGGGGUGCAUGGACAGACAGAGGGACGGACGGACGGAUGGACGGAGAGAGGAACAAACAAAUGAACAGGUGAGUGGGUAGGAGAGUGGAUGGCCCACAGAAAGUUCAGUGUAAUUGGCCAGCACGCCCAAACUUCCCCCUGCUCCUGUGAAAUAAGAUUUCCCUGUUUCACUUGUCAUGGCUCGUCCUCUGCUUUAGCGAAUUGAAGAUUUAGAAAGACGGCGCUGUGCGGAGAUGCCAGGGAAGCCGAGGGUCAGACGUGUGUUGCUUCCUUCCCUGAAUCCUGGUCUCCCUGCGUGUAAAGUGAGGAUGUUGGACUUGAACUUGAUGAUUCCUUGGCCCCUUCCAGCUGAAGACACAUGCCUGUGCUGGGGCCCAGCAGGGAUGGGGGGGCCACUGACUGAGUCCAGUGCAGCGAAAAGGGCACCGGGAAGGCUUCAGACGAAAGAUGAAGGGAUGGAAGAGAAAAGGAAAGAAGGGAAAGGGAAGGAAGGGAGGGAAG